UACGGAGGGUGCAAACGUUGCUCGGAAUCAUUGGGCGUAAAGCGCACGUAGGCGGCCUGUUAAGUCGGGUGUGAAACCUCCAGGCUCAACCUGGAGACGCCACCUGAUACUGCUGUGGCUAGAGUCCGGUAGGGGAACACGGAAUUCCCGGUGUAGCGGUGAAAUGCUUAGAUAUCGGGAGGAACACCAGUGGCGAAGGCGGUGUUCUGGGCCGGAACUGACGCUGAGGAGCGAAAGCGUGGGUAGCAAACAGG
rnacentral:rRNA from 1 species